AGAGUUUGAUCCUGGCUCAGAACGAACGCUGGCGGCGCGUCUUAAGCAUGCAAGUCGAACGGCAAGAGAGAAGCUUGCUUCUCUCCUAGAGUGGCGGACUGGUGAGGAACACGUGGGUAAUCUGCCCUUAAGAUGGGGAUAGCUGCUAGAAAUAGCAGGUAAUACCGAAUACACUCGGCGCUUCAUAAGAGGUGUUGAGGAAAGGAAGCUAUGGCUUCGCUUGAGGAUGAGCUUGCGUCCCAUUAGCUAGUUGGUGAGGUAAAGGCCCACCAAGGCGACGAUGGGUAUCCGGCCUGAGAGGGUGAUCGGACACAUUGGGACUGAGAUACGGCCCAAACUCCUACGGGAGGCAGCAGCUAAGAAUAUUCCGCAAUGGACGGAAGUCUGACGGAGCGACGCCGCGUGGAUGAAGAAGGCUGAAAAGUUGUAAAAUCCUUUUGUUGAUGAAGAAUAAGGGUGAGAGGGAAUGCUCAUCUGAUGACGGUAAUCGACGAAUAAGCCCCGGCUAAUUACGUGCCAGCAGCCGCGGUAACACGUAAGGGGCGAGCGUUGUUCGGAAUUAUUGGGCGUAAAGGGCAUGUAGGCGGUUGUGUAAGCCUGGUGUGAAAUCCUGGGGCUUAACCCCAGAAUAGCAUUGGGUACUGCACGACUUGAAUUACGGAAGGGAAACUGGAAUUCCAAGUGUAGGGGUGGAAUCUGUAGAUAUUUGGAAGAACACCGGUGGCGAAGGCGGGUUUCUGGUCGAUAAUUGACGCUGAGAUGCGAAAGUGUGGGGAUCGAACAGGAUUAGAUACCCUGGUAGUCCACACUGUAAACGAUGUACACUAGGUGUUGGGGCAAGAGCUUCAGUGCCAAAGCAAACGCGAUAAGUGUACCGCCUGGGGAGUAUGCCCGCAAGGGUGAAACUCAAAGGAAUUGACGGGGGCCCGCACAAGCGGUGGAGCAUGUGGUUUA
rnacentral:rRNA from 1 species